AUUGAUAUUACACAUUUUUACUUAGCUUAAAUUGCAUGUUUUAGUUUAAAAAAAUUUGUGGUUUAUAGGUUUUAUAUGAUAUAUUGUUUACUUUUCCAUAGCAGCAAUUUUAGUAUAAUUGAAGAUAAUUUAAAAACUUAAAAUUUUUUGAAGUGAAUGUUGGAAUUUUAAAGUUUAUCUUCUAUAGGAAUUCUGGGCAGGAUAGUUUACUGGUUAUUAAUUUAUGGACAAAAGCUAUGUCAUAUAAUCUUGUAGAAACCAGUCUACCAGUCAGUUGAUUCUAAACCAAAUUCUACAGCCAAUAAGGUAUCUAGUGUCACAUCCAUUCGACCUAAUUUGUAUAUUAUCAUUCUUAAAAACGUCUUGUAUUUUUUCAAGUUUGUCAAUUAAGUAAAAAGAAAUUAUUAAAUAGUUGAUAUCCAUAUAUAAAUAUAUAAAUAAAUAAAUUCUUCCCCUG